GGCGUGCCUAACACAUGCAAGUCGAACGGUAACAGGUCUUCGGAUGCUGACGAGUGGCGCACGGGUGAGUAACGCGUGGAUAUCUGCCUAUUAGUGGGGGACAACUUGUGGAAACGCAAGCUAAUACCGCAUAAUCCCUACGGGGGAAAGCAGGGGACCUUCGGGCCUUGUGCUGAUAGAUGAGUCCGCGUCUGAUUAGCUAGUUGGUAGGGUAAAGGCCUACCAAGGCGAUGAUCAGUAUCUGGUUUGAGAGGAUGAUCAGACACACUGGAACUGAGACACGGUCCAGACUUCUACGGAAGGCAGCAGUGGGGAAUAUUGCACAAUGGGCGCAAGCCUGAUGCAGCGACGCCGCGUGUGGGAAGAAGGCUUUAGGGUUGUAAACCACUUUCAAUUGGGAAGAAGAGAUGAGAGUUAAUAACUUUCUGAUUUGACGGUACCUUUAGAAGAAGCACCGGCUAAUUUCGUGCCAGCAGCCGCGGUAAUACGAAAGGUGCAAGCGUUGUUCGGAUUUACUGGGCGUAAAGAGAGUGUAGGUUGUUUAUUAAGUCGGAUGUGAAAUCCCGGGGCUCAACCUCGGAACUGCAUUCGAUACUGGUAGACUAGAGUUCGGGAGGGGUAAGCGGAAUUCCGUGUGUAGCAGUGAAAUGCGUAGAUAUACGGAGGAACACCUGAGGCGAAGGCGGCUUACUGGACCGAUACUGACACUGAGACUCGAAAGCGUGGGUAGCAAACAGGAUUAGAUACCCUGGUAGUCCACGCCCUAAACGAUGUCAACUAGCCGUUGCGGGUAUCGACCCCUGCAGUGGCGAAGCUAACGCGAUAAGUUGACCGCCUGGGGAGUACGGU
rnacentral:rRNA from 1 species